rnacentral:rRNA from 1 species
CACGUAGGGCGCAAGCGUUGUCCGGAAUUAUUGGGCGUAAAGAGCUCGUAGGUGGUUUGUUACGUCUGCUGUGAAAUCCUAGGGCUUAACCCUGGGCUUGCAGUGGAUACGGGCAGACUAGAGGUAGGUAGGGGAGAAUGGAAUUCCUGGUGUAGCGGUGAAAUGCGUAGAUAUCGGGAGGAAUACCAGUGGCGAAGGCGGCUUACUGGCUCAUUCCUGACGCUGAGGAGCGAAAGCGUGGGGAGCAAACGGG